CUAGCACUGCCAAUCGUCUUCCCCGAGCUCUGGUCCUGAAAAAUACAAUGGGAUUCAUAGAAGAUAACACAACAAUUAGAAUCUCUAGAUAAUUUGCUAACAGACAAGAGAUUACAAGUAAGUUUAGGAACAUGGAGAACAGAUUUAAGAUCUAUUCCCUCAGAGAUUUUUAUUAGACCUUUUCCUACAAUAGGUGAGAAAUUACCAUCAGCUAUCCGAACCUUUUUAUUUCCAAGACACGGUGAAUAGGAUUCAAACAUGUUUGAGGAAUUGGUCAUGUGGUCGGAUGCUCCAAAAUCGAUUAUCCAUGGAGUAGAUUUAAAACGACAAGAUAGAGCAUAUAAUUCAUUACCUGUGUGUGCCAAAGAAACACUAGAAGUACCAGAUGUCAAGUUGGAUUUCAGUAGUGCAAGAAGAUGCUCCAUUUGCUCAGUGGUAAAGGGGCUGGUCUUAGCCUCAUUAGCAGUAGGAAUAAUGGCUCGGCUUGGUUUGUCACAUGUUUUUCCUUUCCAAUUUGCAGGUUUCCCAUGGAUUUUCCAACAGUUCUCAUGAGUAUGGCGAGGUUUGUUGCAAAAAUCACACCAAACCCGUGGUCUUUCAUCUGAUUUGCGUUGAAACGCAACAACUUUAUUAUAGCCUCCACCCGUGGUAACCAAGGCUGAACCUUCAAUAGCAACUCCAGGUCCCUUCUUGCCUAGCAUCACAUUCCUCCGACUCUCUUUUCUUCUAACUUCUGAAAAAACUUCACCAAUUGAAGGCAGGGGUUGUCUUCCAAUGAUUCUCCCCUUUACGUCAUCAAACUCGACAUUAAGGCUAGCCAAGAA
rnacentral:lncRNA from 1 species